CCUACGGGGGGCUGCAGUGGGGAAUAUUGCACAAUGGGCGCAAGCCUGAUGCAGCGACGCCGCGUGAGCGAUGAAGGCCUUCGGGUCGUAAAGCUCUGUCCUAAGGGAAGAAUAAUGACGGUACCUUAGGAAUAAGCCCCGGCUAACUUCGUGCCAGCAGCCGCGGUAAUACGAAGGGGGCUAGCGUUGCUCGGAAUCACUGGGCGUAAAGGGCGCGUAGGCGGCGUUUUAAGUCGGGGGUGAAAGCCUGUGGCUCAACCACAGAAUGGCCUUCGAUACUGGGACGCUUGAGUAUGGUAGAGGUUGGUGGAACUGCGAGUGUAGAGGUGAAAUUCGUAGAUAUUCGCAAGAACACCGGUGGCGAAGGCGGCCAACUGGACCAUUACUGACGCUGAGGCGCGAAAGCGUGGGGAGCAAACAGGAUUAGAUACCCUGGUAGUC
rnacentral:rRNA from 1 species